UCCUGCAUGUGGAUAGGGUCCUUUUCCACACCGGGCAUUCAGCGAGUACGGUCGCAUAAAUUUUUCUUAAAAGCAUUUGUGCAUUAUUAAUUGCGUAUUACAUUAUAAAACAAUGACUAACCAAGCCGCGAUAAGUGAAUUCACCACAGAAGAGGAAAUUAAUUACUGGGUGGUCGGUGAUGACACAAUUGAACUUCAAGGGUACGUAGACCAAGUUGAGGGAACGAAACAAGUUCCUAGCGGCAAGGGGCCAUGGCACGACAUCGCUAUUUAAAAUCAUUGUCAACAAUGGUACCGGUAAUCGAGUCAGAGUGCUUUUCUGGGGACAAAAAGCCACGGAAUUUUCCACAAUUCUCCGCAUACGUAACGUUAUUACAAUUACGCGCGCAAAAGCAUCUGCGGUUAACGUGAAAUUCAAUAACCCUGCGGACAACGUCGGAUUAAUUGAAUUGUCGGUUACCAAUUCAUCGACAAUCCAAGUUGCGCGAAAUUUAUUUCAAAGAUGACGUCGAUAAUUCACCACCAAGAGUUGUUAAACUC